GACGAACGCUGGCGGCGUGCUUAACACAUGCAAGUCGAACGGAAAGGCCCUGCUUUUGUGGGGUGCUCGAGUGGCGAACGGGUGAGUAACACGUGAGUAACCUGCCCUUGACUUUGGGAUAACUUCAGGAAACUGGGGCUAAUACCGGAUAGGAGCUCCUGCUGCAUGGUGGGGGUUGGAAAGUUUCGGCGGUUGGGGAUGGACUCGCGGCUUAUCAGCUUGUUGGUGGGGUAGUGGCUUACCAAGGCUUUGACGGGUAGCCGGCCUGAGCGGGUGACCGGCCACAUUGGGACUGAGAUACGGCCCAGACUCCUACGGGAGGCAGCAGUGCGGAAUAUUGCACAAUGGGCGGAAGCCUGAUGCAGCAACGCCGCGUGCGGGACGACGGCCUUCGGGUUGUAAACCGCUUUCGCCUGUGACGAAGCGUGAGUGACGGUAAUGGGUAAAGAAGCACCGGCUAACUACGUG
rnacentral:rRNA from 1 species